GACGAACGCUGGCGGCGUGCUUAACACAUGCAAGUCGAACGGAAAGGCCCUGCUUUUGUGGGGUGCUCGAGUGGCGAACGGGUGAGUAACACGUGAGUAACCUGCCCUUGACUUUGGGAUAACUUCAGGAAACUGGGGCUAAUACCGGAUAGGAGCUCCUGCUGCAUGGUGGGGGUUGGAAAGUUUCGGCGGUUGGGGAUGGACUCGCGGCUUAUCAGCUUGUUGGUGGGGUAGUGGCUUACCAAGGCUUUGACGGGUAGCCGGCCUGAGAGGGUGACCGGCCACAUGGGGACUGAGAUACGGCCCAGACUGCUACGGGAGGCAGCAGUGGGGAAUAUUGCACAGUGGGCGGAAGCCUGAUGCAGCGACGCCGCGUGCGGGAUGACGGCCUUCGGGUUGUAAACCGCUUUCGCCUGUGACGAAGCGUGAGUGACGGUAAUGGGUAAAGAAGCACCGGCUAACUACGUG
rnacentral:rRNA from 1 species